GAGUUUGAUCGUGGCUCAGGAUGAACGCUAGCGGCAAGCUUAAUACAUGCAAGUCGUGGGGCAGCAGGUCUGUAGCAAUACAGAUGCUGGCGACCGGCAAACGGGUGCGGAACACGUACACAACCUUCCUUUAAGUGGGGGAUAGCCCAGGGAAACUUGGAUUAAUACCCCGUAAUAUAUAGAAGUGGCAUCGCUUUUAUAUUAUAGCAGCAAUGCGCUUGAAGAUGGGUGUGCGGCUGAUUAGAUAGUUGGCGGGUAACGGCCCACCAAGUCGACGAUCAGUAACUGGUGUGAGAGCACGGACCAGUCACACGGGCACUGAGACACGGGCCGACUCCUAACGGGAGGCAAGCAGUAAGGAAUAUGGUCAAUGGACGCAAGUCUGAACCA
rnacentral:rRNA from 1 species